rnacentral:rRNA from 1 species
GGCGAACGGGUGAGUAACGCGUGAGGAACCUGCCUCAAAGAGGGGGACAACAGUUGGAAACGACUGCUAAUACCGCAUAAGCCCACGGGUCGGCAUCGGGCUGAGGGAAAAGGAUUUAUUCGCUUCAGGAUGGACUCGCGUCCAAUUAGCUAGUUGGUGAGGUAACGGCCCACCAAGGCGACGAUUGGUAGCCGGACUGAGAGGUUGAACGGCCACAUUGGGACUGAGACACGGCUCAG